rnacentral:rRNA from 1 species
CGUACACUCCUACGGGAGGCAGCAGUGGGGAAUAUUGCACAAUGGGCGCAAGCCUGAUGCAGCCAUGCCGCGUGUAUGAAGAAGGCCUUCGGGUUGUAAAGUACUUUCAGCGGGGAGGAAGGCGAUAAGGUUAAUAACCUUGUCGAUUGACGUUACCCGCAGAAGAAGCACCGGCUAACUCCGUGCCAGCAGCCGCGGUAAUACGGAGGGUGCAAGCGUUAAUCGGAAUUACUGGGCGUAAAGCGCACGCAGGCGGUCUGUCAAGUCGGAUGUGAAAUCCCCGGGCUCAACCUGGGAACUGCAUUCGAAACUGGCAGGCUAGAGUCUUGUAGAGGGGGGUAGAAUUCCAGGUGUAGCGGUGAAAUGCGUAGAGAUCUGGAGGAAUACCGGUGGCGAAGGCGGCCCCCUGGACAAAGACUGACGCUCAGGUGCGAAAGCGUGGGGAGCAAACAGGAUUAGAAACCCCAGUAGUCC